rnacentral:rRNA from 1 species
AAAGUCGUAACAAGGUUUCCGUAGGUGAACCUGUAGUAGAAAAAUUG